UCCAGGGUAGCCUAGUGGACAUGGCAUCUGCCCGGUAAGCGGAACAUUGUGGGUUCGAUUCCCAUCCCUGAAA